rnacentral:rRNA from 1 species
AGUGAACGCUGGCGGUAGGCCUAACACAUGCAAGUCGAACGGCAGCACAGUAAGAUCUUGCUCUUACGGGUGGCGAGUGGCGGACGGGUGAGGAAUACAUCGGAAUCUACUUUUUCGGGGAGGAUAACGGAGGGAAACUUACGCUAAUACCGCAUACGACCUACGGGUGAAAGCAGGGGAUCUUCGGACCUUGCGCGACUGAAUGAGCCGAUGUCGGAGUAGCUAGUUGGCGGGGUAAAGGCCCACCAAGGCGACGAUCCGUAGCUGGUCUGAGAGGAUGAUCGGCCACACUGGAACUGAGACACGGUCCAGACUCCUACGGGAGGCAGCAGUGGGGAAUAUUGGGCAAUGGGCGCAAGCCUGAUCCAGCCAUACCGCGUGGGUGAAGAAGGCCUUCGGGUUGUAAAGCCCUUUUGUUGGGAAAGAAAAGCAGCAGGUUAAUACCCCGCUGUUCUGACGGUACCCAAAGAAUAAGCACCGGCUAACUUCGUG